CGGAUGUAGCCAAGUGGAU
rnacentral:tRNA from 3 species